UUGGGCUAGUGGUGAAAUUGGUAGACACAGUCUCUUGCCAAGGGGCCGCCUUCGGGCAUACGGGUUCGAUCCCCGUCUAGCAAA
rnacentral:tRNA from 1 species